GGGGUUGUGGCUCAGUGGUAGAGCUCUCCCCAGCAUGUGUGAGGUACUGGCUUCAAUUCUCAGCACCACA
rnacentral:tRNA from 1 species